rnacentral:rRNA from 1 species
CCUACGGGGGGCUGCAGUGGGGAAUAUUGGACAAUGGGGGCAACCCUGAUCCAGCCAUGCCGCGUGUGUGAAGAAGGCCCUCGGGUUGUAAAGCACUUUCAGUGAGGAAGAACGCCUGGUGGUUAAUACCCAUCAGGAAAGACAUCACUCACAGAAGAAGCACCGGCUAACUCCGUGCCAGCAGCCGCGGUAAUACGGAGGGUGCGAGCGUUAAUCGGAAUUACUGGGCGUAAAGCGCGCGUAGGUGGCUUGAUAAGCCGGUUGUGAAAGCCCCGGGCUCAACCUGGGAACGGCAUCCGGAACUGUCAAGCUAGAGUGCAGGAGAGGAAGGUAGGAUUCCCGGUGUAGCGGUGAAAUGCGUAGAGAUCGGGAGGAAUACCAGUGGCGAAGGCGGCCUUCUGGACUGACACUGACACUGAGGUGCGAAAGCGUGGGUAGCAAACAGGAUUAGAUACCCUUGUAGUC